rnacentral:tRNA from 1 species
GCCCUUGUGGCGUAGUCGUUAGCGCAUUCCGCUUGUAUCCACCUACGGAAAGAUCCUGUGUUCAAAUCACAGCUGGGGCA